AAGCCGGGUUACGGUGCCCAACUGCGCGCUAACCUAGAACCCACAAAGGGUGUUGGUCGAUUAAGACAGCAGGACGGUGGUCAUGGAAGUCGAAAUCCGCUAAGGAGUGUGUAACAACUCACCUGCCGAAUCAACUAGCCCCGAAACAGGAUGGCGCUGAAGCGCGCGACCCACACCCGGCCAUCUGGGCGAGCGCCAUGCCCC
rnacentral:ncRNA from 1 species